UACGGAGGAUCCGAGCGUUAUCCGGAUUCAUUGGGUUUAAAGGGAGCGUAGGCGGAUUAUUAAGUCAGUUGUGAAAGUUUGCGGCUCAACCGUAAAAUUGCAGUUGAUACUGGUAGUCUUGAGUGCAGCAGAGGUAGGCGGAAUUCGUGGUGUAGCGGUGAAAUGCUUAGAUAUCACGAAGAACUCCGAUUGCGAAGGCAGCUUACUGGACUGUAACUGACGCUGAUGCUCGAAAGUGCGGGUAUCAAACAGGAUUAGAUACCCUGGUAGUCCGCACAGUAAACGAUGAAUACUCGCUGUUUGCGAUACACGGUAAGCGGCCAAGCGAAAGCGUUAAGUAUUCCACCUGGGGAGUACGCCGGCAACGGUGAAACUUAAAGGAAUUGACGGGG
rnacentral:rRNA from 1 species